rnacentral:siRNA from 1 species
AGGGCAAAAUGGUCUAUACAACU